GUACACGCUGUGACUAGCAUAUCAAUAAGCGGAGGAAAAGAAACUAACAAGGAUUCCCCUAGUAACGGCGAGUGAAGCGGGAAGAGCUCAAAUCUGAAAUCUUAAAGGGUUUCCCUUUACGAAUUGUAGUUUAAAGAAGUGUUUUCUGUUGAGGUUUUGGUAAAAGUUCUUUGGAAUAGGACAUCAUAGAGGGUGAGAAUCCCGUAUUUGACCUUUACUUUCAACUUUGUGAUACACUUUCAAAGAGUCGGAUUGUUUGGGAAUGCAGUCCAAAAUGGGUGGUAAAUUUCAUCUAAAGCUAAAUAUUGGCGAGAGACCGAUAGCGAACAAGUACCGUGAGGGAAAGAUGAAAAGAACUUUGAAAAGAGAGUUAAACAGUACGUGAAAUUGUCAAAAGGGAAGCGUUUGACACCAGUGUUGUUUUUCUGAAAAUCAAUUAAAGAACUGUUUAUGCUAAGUUGUUUAGACUUUAUCAGCUAACUGUUUAGUUUUGAGCUUUUCUUUAAUGCACUUUUCAGUUAACAAGUCAACAUCAAUUUCUUUUGCUGUAAAAAAGCUUGAGGAAGGUGGCUUGAGAUUCGUCUUAAGUGUUUAUAGCCUCUUGCCUAUGCAGUCGGAGAGAUUGAGGUCUGCAGCGUAGAUCCUUCGGGGCUAAAUGCAUUUGUGCUAAGUUAUAGCAUUUUAUAGACAACUUGUUGACUAUGAUUUGUCUUGUAGCUUACUCGCUUAUGUUAUUUUACCUACGCUUAGGAUGUUGAAGUCAUCGUAUCGCGC
rnacentral:rRNA from 1 species